GUGUUCGUUUUGGCAGCACAUAUACUAAAAUUGGAACGAUACAGAGAUUAGCAUGGCCCCUGAGCAAAGAUGACAUGCAAAUUUGUGAAGUGUUCCAUAUUUUU
rnacentral:snRNA from 1 species